rnacentral:rRNA from 1 species
UGCCAGCAGCCGCGGUAAUACAUGAGCCUCGAGCGUUACCCGGAUUCACUGGGCGUAAAGGGUGUGUAGGCGGCAUAGUUAGUCGCGCGUUAAAGCUCAGGGCUCAACCCUGAAAUCGCGUGCGAAACGGCUAAGCUAGAGGAUGCGAGAGGUCUGUGGAACUCAUGGUGUAGGGGUGAAAUCCGUUGAUAUCAUGGGGAACACCGAAAGCGAAGGCAGCAGACUGGCGCAUUUCUGACGCUGAGACACGAAAGCGUGGGUAGCGAAUGGGAUUAGAUA